AUCGGUGUAGUUCAGUUGGUAGAACACUUGACUUUUAAUCAAGAAGUCGUAGGUUCGAGUCCUAUCACCGAUA
rnacentral:tRNA from 1 species